rnacentral:rRNA from 1 species
GAUGAACGCUGGCGGCGUGCCUAAUACAUGCAAGUCGAGCGAACAGAUAAGGAGCUUGCUCCUUUGACGUUAGCGGCGGACGGGUGAGUAACACGUGGGUAACAUACCUAUAAGACUGGGAUAACUUCGGGAAACCGGAGCUAAUACCGGAUAAAAUUUGGAACCGCAUGGUUCUAAAGAGAAAGAUGGUUUUGCUAUCACUUAUAGAUGGACCCGCGCCGGAUUAGCUAGUUGGUAAGGUAACGGCUUACCAAGGCAACGAUACAUAGCCGACCUGAGAGGGUGCGCGCCCACUCUGGAUGUGAGACCCCGCCCAGUCGCCUACGGGGGGGCGGAGGGGGGACUUUCGCGCAAGGGGCGAAACCCUCACGGAGCAACCCCGCGUGAGUGAUGAAGGUUUUCGGCUCGUAAAACUCUGUAUUAGGGAAGAACAAAUGUGUAAGUAACUGUGCACGUCUUGACGGUACCUAAUCAGAAAGCCACGGCUAACUACGUG